UCUUCGGGCUGGUAUUGUGUUGAGUCAUAAUAACUGUGCGGAUCGCACUUUGUGCGAUAAAUCGAUUGAGUUUCUGCCCUAUCAGCUUUGGAUGGUAGGAUAUGGGCCUACCAUGGCAUUAACGGGUAACGGGGAAUUAGGGUUUGAUUCCGGAAAGGGAGCCUUAAAAACGGCUACCACAUCCAAGGAAGGCAGCAGGCGCGUAAAUUACCCAAUCCUGACACAGGGAGGAAGGGACAANAAANAACAAUGCUCUGGCUCUUCGAGUCGGGCAAUUGUAAUGAGAACAAUUUAAAUCCCUUAACGAGGAUCAAUU
rnacentral:rRNA from 1 species